rnacentral:lncRNA from 1 species
AACUGAGACUCGUAACUGCACCCCAGCUCGACUUCCUCCCGACUCCGAGAGGCGGCGAGUCCACCCACUGGCGCGGUGCAAGAGCUACCCCUCCCUGAACUACGACUUCCUCAGGUUUCAGAGCGGACAGCUCCACGGCCCAGAAAGAGACGCAGGGAGGAGCCCAGCUUCCGCCUCGAAAGGGACUCUGGGACACUGGGCGGGCCCAGGAACGCAGUGUUCUUGGGAAAUGUGGUCCACAGCCUCCGCUGCGCAGGCGCCGUGGCCCUGCUCCACACGCGCACGGCUGAAGACCCCUAUCUCCGAGAGCGCGCACGCACCCUUCCGGGGUACGAGAAGGCGUGGCGGAUGCUGAGGCAGGCCCUACCGGUCUCGGUGGCGGUGUUGUGGUGAAGGCGGCCGGGUUUAUUUAAGGCUGACUACGAAUUUAAGUGGGAGAGACAUGCAGUUUGUAAGAUCUUCCCACCCCAAGGGGGAGAUCGGCAGCGGAAUGUGUCGCGCGCUGCCUUGGGUGCGCACCCACACACUGGCAAUAAUAAAUGCUUGCUUUAUUCCUUUAUUUAACA